rnacentral:rRNA from 1 species
UACAGAGGUCUCAAGCGUUGUUCGGAUUCAUUGGGCGUAAAGGGUGCGUAGGCGGCGUGGUAAGUCGGGUGUGAAAUCUCGGAGCUUAACUCCGAAACUGCAUUCGAUACUGCCGUGCUUGAGGACUGGAGAGGAGACUGGAAUUUACGGUGUAGCGGUGAAAUGCGUAGAUAUCGUAAGGAAGACCAGUGGCGAAGGCGGGUCUCUGGACAGUUCCUGACGCUGAGACACGAAGGCCAGGGGAGCAAACGGG